rnacentral:lncRNA from 1 species
AGUCUCAAGCUCAGGACCAAGUAGAAAGCUCACGGCAAAGGGUGGGAAAUGAACGGCCAAUGUCUGGCCACACGGGCCUUGUGCGGCUGCGAGAAGGGGGGAAAAAAAACUCAAGCUCAGGAUCAGGUAGAAAGUUCACGGCAAAGGCUGCAUCUCACCGAAACGGAAAAGGAAACGGGAAAAGGGAAAAAAGGAAAAGGAAAAGGAAAAGGAAGAAAGCUCACCACGGAAGAAGAGAAGAGAAGAGCAAACCCCAAAGCCACAGUUUAAGCAACGAAUGAAGAGAACCGGAUAUCUGAGCAGGGCAGUGAAGCAGGCUUAGAAGCAGCAUUGUCCAAAAGAAGGAGAGAGAGAGAGACGGUAGCGGUAAGAAGAGCCAUGUGAUAGUCCCGGACAGAGAAACAAGUUUACCAGAUAGGCAGCGCGGCAGACAACGCAGCAGGAGGCACAUGGGAUACCGUCAGAGGAGAAGAGGCGCGCAGUGCGCGAAGAACACAAUGUUUUCAAUCCACAUGCGCGGCACGUGAGAGGACGACGAAACUCUGGCUGAAGGGCGUUCGCACUUUAUCUACUUAUGUUGAUGGCCACACGGGCCUUGUGCGGCUGCGAGAAGGGGGGAAAAAAAACUCAAGCUCAGGAUCAGGUAGAAAGUUCACGGCAAAGCUGCAUCUCACCGAAACGGAAAAGGAAACGGGAAAAGGGAAAAAAGGAAAAGGAAAAGGAAAAGGAAAAGGAAGAAAGCUCACCACGGAAGAAGAGAAGAGAAGAGCAAACCCCAAAGCCACAGUUUAAGCAACGAAUGAAGAGAACCGGAUAUCUGAGCAGGGCAGUGAAGCAGGCUUAGAAGCAGCAUUGUCCAAAAGAAGGAGAGAGAGAGAGACGGUAGCGGUAAGAAGAGCCAUGUGAUAGUCCCGGACAGAGAAACAAAUUUACCAGAUAGGCAGCGCGGCAGACAACGCAGCAGGAGGCACAUGGGAUACCGUCAGAGGAGAAGAGGCGCGCAGUGCGCGAAGAACACAAUGUUUUCAAUCCACAUGCGCGGCACGUGAGAGGACGACGAAACUCUGGCUGAAGGGCGUUCGCACUUUAUCUACUUAUGUUGUUGAUAAGAGGUUAGUGAUGAGAAAAAAAGAUGGACUUGACCGUUGACCUUGACAUUGUCAAUCUUCUUUCUGGUUUUCUUUUCUUCUCUAUUUGUAAUUGGCCCAUAUUCUUAAAAAAAUAUAGAACAGUUCUCCUC